GCCAAACCUUAGAAAACACAAAGUUUGCUUCCUCUCAAGGACAGCCUUUCAAAGGACCGAAGGCAAGACGUGUCGAUGAGCUGAUCCUUCUAGCAUCCUUUUUUAUGAGGAAGGCCAAAUUCUCAGAACCUAUGUGACCUGAGCCUGGUCCCACCGCAAAGUGACAACAGAACGGGGACUGCAGCCGAAUCUCACUCUGGAUUCCAAAGUCCCCUGACUCGCCCUAUUUUCUGCCAAGACCACUCACUGACAAACAGUGCCAUGAAAGCAGAGAUUCGCUGAAGGGGCAGGAGUAAAGGGACUCACAAGAUCCAUUCUGCAGGCACGGGAUGAGGGCUGUGUUGGGAGCAGUGAAACCCCAGAUCCUGAAUUUCUUGUAAUCCCCUGAUCUGAGUGCCUACAGAUGCUCUGAGCAGGAG